UCUUUGGAGAUGAGGGUGGUUGCAAAUCCCAGACAAGCCCCCACAUGAAAGACACACACACACACACACACACACACACACACACACACACACACCGAGAGGGGAGACCCUCACUCAAGUCUCGGGAUGAUGCGACCCCACAAGAACUCACGAGAGA
rnacentral:pre_miRNA from 11 species